UUUUAUUUUGUAGUUUCAUGUCUCUUGUGUCCCUGGGUUAGCUUCACUUCCUGCCUUGUCCUGUGAUUGCCUGAUUGUUUCCACCUGUCUCCAAUCACCUGCACCUCCCUAGUGUAUUUAAGCCCUGUGCGCCUAUUAUCCCCUGUUGCGUCAUUGUCAAGUCAACUCGUCGUUGGUGAACGUCUUUCUGCUUUGUUUUGGAAUAAAGAGCACCUUUUGGAAACUUUGAAGACCCUGCGUUUGAGUCCUGCCUCCGACCUGCACCAGCAGCACAGCCCCUGACACUUUUUUACAUCCACUCAGCAAAAAGCUGGACAGGACUUGUAAAUCAUGCACACUCCUCUACCAGAUUAUCAUCUUAUCCAUGGACACACCAGCGACGUUCACUUCAUCAAACACAGCUGCCAAUGCCUCCUUUCUGUUCGCCCCUUGUUUGUUUAGUCUCCUGCCUCCUUACAGAUGAAAGGCUGCAAUAGAGUUAAUCUGCUGUCGGUGUGCUUCAUAAGCAGAGAGCACGAGAAAGAGAGGGGCUCUCACCCAACCGCAGUGGGUGAGCAGGGGAGAGCGGUGAAGUGCCAGCUGUGACGGAGGAAACGUGGUGAAGACAGCAAGGCUCCACAUAGGGGGUCCAUUCGAUCCAACGCCGGCGCCGGAUGGAGAGCGCAGUAACGUCACUGCAUGCCUUUACAUAAGCGACUGGCUCGCAGAUGAAAAUGUCUACAGUGGCAGCAUAAAUCAAUGUCGAGGUGAAAUAUUAAUCCACUUUCAUUUAAAAUUCCCCUUCAAAUGUAGUAUUUGUGGAUGCCAGGCAGGGUGGCCCUUUGAAGCCGCAUGGCGCCAACAAACCCUUUGACUAAAGAUGAGGUUUAAAGGAAAACACUCCUGUCUGAACGUUGUUGUUUUUCGCUUUGUGGAUGUUUGUACUUUCUUUAUCACGACUGAUUACUUUUUGAAUUGUUGCUCCUCCAAAUCCGCCCAUGGGUAGUGCAUCGUGAUAUUAAAACUAAUGUGAUACAACUGUUAAUGACUGACAAUCGUGUUCCCAGGUGCCCGGGACGAAAAGCAACCAGCCAGAACAGAAGCGCUGGCCAUCGGGUAGAUGAUGCUCACUAACACAAGCUGUUUGAGGAAAAUGCUCCUUAAAAAAGAAACUCCAUCAAUUUUACACAUCAAAGUCAGAGUAAUUACUCCAAAAGGAAUUAGGUUUCCAGGCUGUAGAGGGCAUGAGUAGUGCCCCGUACUCGGUGUCGGGAGCUGACCGACACUAAAAGUCACGAAACGGAAAAGUCUGCUUUAUUUCAUAUUUAUUGAGUUUUCAUGAUGUGUUCAAAUAUAUAAUCUUUUUACAUUUUACAUUUUUGAAUGUGUGUUUUUAAGCACAUGGGAUUCAUUUUUGUUCUUUAACCAUGAUAACACACUGAGUAUUGAGAAUUUAACUGUCAUUGGUAUAAACUACUAGAUUUCUGGUAUUAUGGUGUUAUUACUGACAAAUAAAGAUUCAAACAAAACCGGCAGUGAACUGCUCAUUCGCAAAUUAACUCGUACAAUGCUGUUGACAAUAAACCAACACUCUAUGUGUUGUGUUCACUUUUAAUGCGUUCAUCUCUCUUUCACUAACCCUUUCUCUGUCAUGUUGAGAUUAGCAGCUUAAUGUCAGGUGCUGCAUGCUACAGGUAUUUCUGCAGGAUGUAUUCACUGUACUUCUCAUUUAAUUAUCACGUGCAGCACAAUAUUGAUAUUUGUAAAUGGAGAGUGCGCACACGCUGCCAAUAAUGCGUUGCUGCAGGCAGGCUCGGACUUCUUUCUACUAGUGGCUUCGGUCAUGUGAGGACAGCAGCAGGGAUACGCUGGAAAAGCUUCAACACAUGCAGUACUGAAUGUCUACAUGGUUUUGUUAGGUUACAGGGUUGCGUUUGCUAAGCAAGAAGCAAUAUUUAAGGCGUUGUAUUCCCUUUUGCUUCACGUCACAAUUAUGAAGCGUGAUACAGUUAUAGGCUUUUUGGAAAGGAGAAAGACUCAUUUAUGUUAUGGUUGGCUGUUUGUUGAGCGUAGAAAAGACACACAGGAAUAUAUUUAUAUAUGGAAAAAGGGUUGAAUGAAGUCAGUACAACAUUCAGCCUGUGCCGUGGCAGGGUUUCUACACGCUUUUAUUCCCCUCUUCGAAGCAAGAAACUACACUCACAGUCCAAACACCACAGUUCUCAUAAAAGGGUGACCGCCCUAUCUUAUUACUUUAGAUCUCAUCCUUCCACACUUGAGGGAUGUUGUCUCUGACCUAAGUCAUUAAACUCCCCAGUCUUUUAUAAUAAAGGUCACUCACUCAUACUCAAAAGUCCACUACUCUUAUUGUCACCAACCCUGGCGAAAAUAUAAUGAAAGCCCACAUUGGGAACAUCUCCUGCUCUCCAACGAUGUCAGCAGCGGCCCCCUCCCCCGGUGACAAUUCCUUUGCUUUGGUGUCAAAAUGUGUGCUUUGCCCUCCACAUAGAAAAAAUGUCCCUAUCCACUUGAGCUGACACGAUGAAGGCAAACCAAUGGUAUUGCAUUGUAUCCACAGUCUCCACUGGUGAAUGUAAAUAAACAUGAUGGUAUUUCAGACAUUGGAUGAUCUCUCUGGUUCUCCACAUGAUAUCAGCGAUGCGGUAUGUAACAAUUUAUCCUUCAAUAUUGCUUCAGUGUGUGUUUGAAUCUAGUGCAUGUACCCUGCAAAGUGCACAUAUGACUGUGUAUAAGAGCGCAAAGGAUGUUUGUCACGUGGCUCUUAAAGGGCGCACUUAGUAGCCGAGGACUCUCAAAGGUCCCAUAACAUUUUUUAUGAGCGCAAAUUAAGCCAAAUGCAAGAAAGAGAACAAAUCGAAUAUCUUAGAGACGUGUGGAUGGAAGGAUACUAGCGCAGUGCAAAGAGGCCACAGGACCAGUGAAGGCAGAAACUGAUAAAAACCUUGAGUGUUGCACUGCAUC